UUCCUUUCUUUCCCCUGGCUGCAAGUGCUGUUCCUUUAUUUCCUAAAUAUAGUGCUCACUUCAAUUUCCAAUCCUCUUUGUUUUCUCAUAUGACAAAAACAGUGUGCUUUGGCAUUUUUGUCUAUUUGGGAGCUCUUGGCCAUCAGAGAUGUUACCAGGUAUCAAUGUGUGGAAGUGGUUCUCAUCAAUCUCCUUCCAAGCCCUGGAUUUUGGGGAAAAGGUGUAUGUUGCUGGUGAGAAAAAUAUGGUAUAUACAACUGUAGCAAACAUCCAUGUGCAUCUCGCUCAUUGGAGUCGUAGCCCUCUUUGAAGUAAAAGCCUGAACAAUCAGCAUUGUGUCUUUCGUUUGGGAACUUGGUGUGAAUAAACUGGCUUGUGAACCAUCUGGGUGCAGAUAAUCUGGGUUUAACUGUAAAUUCCACCUGCUGCAAAUGAAGUUAACCGGCGGCUAUGGAGCUGGUGGGGCUAGGCAGGUCACAGGUUCCUGGAUAACGACCCACACUUUCACACAGGGGACAUGCUUGGGAGGGAUGGGCUACAUCUCUCCCCUAAAGGCAAGUGUGUCUUUUCUUCCAGGUUGGCUGAUCUCGUACAGCGUGCUUUAAACUAGCUUCACCGGGGAAUGGGGCCACAGGAGGACACCUCCCAACCAAGACAGGUGACAAGCACAAGGAGUACCCGGGACUGGGACUCCCCCACCGAGAUUCAGGAUGGACUCAGAAGAGACUCCACCAGGCCUAGGGUCAGGGAGGACCAAGGGAAAACCAAGAUCCCUGAUGACCCGAGUUACGCAUUCAGAGUUGAUUCUGCCUUGAGAUGUGCUGGGAGAAUGAAGGCGAAGAAGACUUGCACUCACCGGAAGCCCGCUGUCUCCAGGCACCCUGCCCUACAAGAGAGAGAGAAGCUGCCAUGUGUUUUUGCUGCUUCUUUGUUAUCUAGGAAGAAGCAAAGCAAAGCUCCAAGCUUGGCCCAGUGCAGUCAGUGGUGCAAGAGCUGAGGACAGUUUUGAUACCUUUGGCCCUGAGCUGAGAGAACCGAGGCAACCACCAUUUCCCAUCUGUUUCAAUGGGCUGGGAUGAGGUCCCUUGUGCAGCUUCACUGGGGAGUUGCGUGGGGCUGGAGCAGCAAUGAUGAGGGUGGGGUUUCCAAAGGGCCCCAUACCCGGAAGCCCUGACGAUGCAGUUCUGGCAUAUGCUUCUCUACAGGGCUCAGCCCCAGCCACAUACACCGGUGCCCUUCAUAUGCAGGGAACACUUCCUAUAGGCAGUGUGGCGGGCCACUAAGGGGUGCUCUAGCCCUGAGCCACCCGCCUCAUUGUGCCUGACCAAAAACCAUGCUUCCAGUGUCUUCCCUGGGGCGCCACCCCCUUUCCUGUAACACGCCUGCAAGUCGGGUAAGCGCUGCCACCACGCGGGCCCUGGUGUUUGUUAGGGCUCUCUGCAGCCUGGGGUACAUAGGCCUGGUUGACCUUGGUGCUUAGCCCACUGUGGUAUUUUGGGGUGCUUCUUUUAGCCUGAAGCAUUCACAAGUAGCCUCCUGUAUGGGAGGAAAGCAAAAAGCCAUGCCCACUUUAGCCAGCUGAAUGAAACAGGCUUUAAAGGCUAGUCUCACCCUCAUAAGCUUUUACAGCAAGGCGUGCUAUAACAAAUAGCUUAACUGAUCAAAGAGGGAGAGAGCGAGGAAGGAAUACAAAACAACGGAAAAUUGAAAGAAAACCUACUUGAGCAAAACAGAAUGGGCAUGUUGGGCCUUUUGAUACGCGUCUAGUUCACUUAAUCCUAAAUUACUGUCUGCAUUUCAAGUAAGUUACUCACAUGUCCAUUCAGAGACCGAUGGAGCUCUGGAGGCUUGUUGCUUGUUUCAAGGUCCCAAAGAUGACUUCCCCUUCCAAAAUGGAGUGACCCCCUUUUAUAACCUUUGUGACUUCAUCAUUAAGUCCCAACCAGAAACAGGCAGUAUUGGGUGUAGACCAGUCCUUUUAAAAGUUGUCCUCAUCUUUGGGUAGAGAGACCAGGGUCACAAAACUGGUCCAGCAGGUCCCUGGGCAGGAACCUCAGGACAAAGGAUUUUAUAUAGCCCAGUCUACUAGGUGGCUAGGCUCGGUUGCUUAGGCAACCAGGCAGUGUGAAUUGGAGACAGAGGGGUUUGGGCUUUCCCCUUACAGAAGUGGGGCAGACGGGAUGAUUUCUUCACAGGUGGUAUCUCCGUAUUGGAUCUCUGGGUUCUUCUACGAGGAACUGAAGUUGGAGGAUGUAGUUCCCUGCUGCUGCUGCUCUUCCCCAGCUUUCCAGACUUUAGUCCCAUAAGGCUCUCCUAUGCCUACAGCUGUCAGUGUGUAAGAACUACUGAGGACAGUUUUCAAUCACACCUGGACCUCUGCCGCUGAAGCCAAGGGAGCGCUUUUCCCCUUAGGGUUCACAGAGCUUUGGAUCCAUCCACGGGAGAGGGAAGAAGCUCAAGACAGGUGGGAGCAGAGAGCUUUCUAGCACUUGUCACUUCCUCCCCUUCUCAGUCAUCCUUUGCUGAGCUCAGCUCCCCUUCCCAAGGAGCCCAGAGAGAUCGUCCACCUUGAGAUGUAAAGGCAGAAUUAAGCAAAAGGAGACAUGCACUCAUUACAAUUGGGCCAGCCAUAGGCAGCUCAAAAAGACCCUAAAAGAGAGAGGAGAAGGUACCGUGCCUUCUUGCAGGUGCCCCAAAAUGCAAUUAUGUGGCCAGAAAGCCAGUUUUUCUAUGGGGAUGUCAGAAACCCAACCCCAAAGCAAUAAGAAGUAUGGGGGGCUCUUUGAAUCUCACCCCAUUGUUGUUGAAGCUGUCAUCACCCGCUGCAUUGUUAUUGAAGCUGCCAGAGUUCUGCAAAAAAGAUUGGGAAGUUUCUUAUUCUCAGCCUUGUUCCAUAGGCUUUAAAAGAGGAUGGGUCCCAUAAGUAAAAGCCUGGCCCCAUUGAAAGCAACAGCAAAACUCCUCCUAAUUUCAACUGAUUCAGGAUUUUGUUAUCUAGCGAUGCAGGAGAACUGAGUUAUAUCCUUCUCUCUGCAUCUUGCACCAAGGGGAAGGGGCACCUGGCUCCCAAUCCCAGCUGGGACAGGGACCGUCUCAAUGUGCAUCCAUGUAGCAUCCCUCUUAAUGGACCCUGAUCUAAAUGGAAAUGUCUAGGUGCAGUUGUGCUAUAAAUCGUCAUCUUACCCAUGGGGCUGCUCUGGUGCCCUCCAGAGGGAGGAGGCAGAUGGCGAGGAAAGCAGCAAGGAUCUGCACCUUCAUCUUGGCUUCUUUUGCUCUCUGGAGCUGGAUGCUUUCAGCCGUGGAAUUUUGAGGUGAUAGGUGGGGAGAAUGACCGCUGUAUUUAUGCCAUGCUGCACCUUGCGUUACAGACCUCACUGUGCCAAGCCCUGAUAAUGUGAUUGCAGUGAGAAGCAAUAGCUUUCUUUUCCUUUCCUAGACUUUCCUGCAGUUUCUUCUCCCCCACCUUAUGCUAUCAGUCUCUCUUAAUCUUUCCCCAGCACUGUCUUCUGUCCCAACUUUAAUUUACUUCUUCCCUUCUUCCCCUGUCUCAGGUUGUGUCAAGAGAUACAAGUCACAAUCCCAAUGGUCUAGAGCACAGAAAGUUGCAUCAUUGUAAGGCAGGAUUUUACAUGGAUUUUGUUAAGACGGUGUAGUGGUAGACGUAGACAGUGUUAAAGCAGUUUAAACCUGGCUUCUAUCAGUUUGGUGUAUGUGAGUGAACUUAAACCUUGGUUAAAAUGAUCCGAAGUGGUGGAAUGAAUUCGGAAUCUAUGUCCUGUGUUGAGCAGUGAUGUAAAUAGUGAGGCCUGCAGGUCUUUAAAUGCCCAAAGAUGUAGAUAGGGACUCAGUGGGGAUUUUCAAGUGCACUGAAGCAGAUUAUAUAGCUUAUUCUCAUUGAAAGUGCAAAUAUUAAAUGCUGCAUCUUGCCCUUUGCCCUCUCAAGGGAUGUCACAAGUGACUUGUCCUACACUCUGGGUCUUUUAGACACACAGAUUGCCUGUGAUGCAUACGGGACACUGGGAUUCCACGCAGCGGGGUUCUGAACUCAAGGUGUUGUUUCACGUGAGGCCUAGGUUCAGAUGAAAUUAAAAUAAACAAAAAAUAUUAAAAUCAACAUUUGCCCUUGGAAAAGUUCAAUUAGGAUUAAAUUGCAUUUUCCAAAGGGAAUAUUUUUUGGUGCAACACUCUUUAGCUACUCCUUUUGGGAUAGACUAUUGCCUGCCUUCUAGCUGCUUCCCAAAGGAAGUGAGAAACAAGGACUCCCUGUUCUUCUUACGUUCUGAAGCAUUUAGACCCUUUUGUCCUGAUGGCAUCAUGGACAAACUGAGUACAGACAUGAAUGUGCUCACUGUAUCAGAGGGCUUCACUGACUCAGAAAGCAGGAGGGAAUGUGCAGUGAUGAGUGUAAAUUUGAUAUUUGCAUCAUGUGGGUAUCAAAUUUAUGCCUGAUUAGUUACUGCCCAGUAAUGCACAUGCAGACACCUUAUUACUGUGUGUGUGGACUAUCUUGGGACUAACUUUAGCCCCAAGUCAGUCCACACACAGUGUUAAUGUGCUUUAGCACCUGCACAUGUAGAUGCUGGCCUAUUCUCUCUUACUUUGCGGUAAAUAUAAACUGGCCUAGAUGCAUGUGUAGAUACAGUCAGUGUAGAUCUGUCCCCCCAUGGCAAUAACAGACUCCUCCAGCUAGUGGAAGUCAGUAUUGGUGUUUUAGAGUCAACACCUAUUGAUAGCAAGCAGGAUCAACCAAAGCUUUAUUAGAGAUAUCUAGCUGCUGUAAUUUGGUGUCACUUCAUUCAUGCUGAUUGUCUUUUUGACUGGAAGGGUGUUCAUAACUGCAGUUUGGGGCCCUUAUGUGUCUGUGCCCAUGACAGGUAGGCACAUCAAAUGAAAGGGGAUUCUGCCGUAAGGGGUUUGAAGCAAUGGGGGCAGAUUUCUGUUGCAGCAGAGGACCAGCCCCCCUUGAUGUGUGUGUGUGUGUGUGUGUGUGUGUGUGCAGAGCCCAGAUCUCCACUGGGGUAGGGAAGGUGUGUAUGUUUGUAUAGCACAUCACAUGACAGGGCCUUGAACCUAGCUGGUGUGAGGACUGCCCGGUGCAUAAAUGAAUAAUAAGUUGUUGUGAGUGACCAUCUUGGUGGGUUAGUAUGUUUUUUUUCAUUAUCCUGCUGUUGGGGGACCUGGAGGGAGGGCCAUGUUCCACUUUAAAAGUGUGCUGCCAAAGGAAAUGAAAACACAAGGCAAAGUUGUGUGUAAAGUAGUUUUAU